UAUAGAGAAGACUAAGGGUUAGUUGCCAGGCUCAUGAUUUGGAGAUGUAGGUUCGAGUCCUGCCUCUAUUU
rnacentral:tRNA from 1 species